rnacentral:rRNA from 1 species
UACGUAGGCAGCGAGCGUUGUUCGGAGUUACUGGGCGUAAAGCGCACGUAGGCGGAUCGUUAAGUCGGGGGUGAAAUCCUGGAGCUCAACUCCAGAACUGCCUUCGAUACUGGCGAUCUUGAGUCCGGAAGAGGUGAGUGGAACUCCUAGUGUAGAGGUGGAAUUCGUAGAUAUUAGGAAGAACACCAGUGGCGAAGGCGGCUCACUGGUCCGGUACUGGACGCUGAGGUGCGAAAGCGUGGGGAGCAAACAGG